AACGAACGCUGGCGGCAUGCCUAACACAUGCAAGUCGAACGAGACCUUCGGGUCUAGUGGCGAACGGGUGCGUAACGCGUGGGAACCUGCCCUUAGGUUCGGAAUAACUCCCCGAAAGGGGUGCUAAUAACGGAGAAUGUCUUCGGACCAAAGAUUUAUCGCCUUUGGAUGGGCCCGCGUUGGAUUAGCUAGUUGGUAGGGUAAAAGCCUACCAAGGCGACGAUCCAUAGCUGGUCUGAGAGGAUGAUCAGCCACACUGGGACUGAGACACGGCCCAGACUCCUACGGGAGGCAGCAGUGGGGAAUAUUGGACAAUGGGCGAAAGCCUGAUCCAGCAAUGCCGCGUGAGUGAUGAAGGCCUUAGGGUUGUAAAGCUCUUUUACCCGGGAUGAUAAUGACAGUACCGGGAGAAUAAGCUCCGGCUAACUCCGUG
rnacentral:rRNA from 1 species